rnacentral:rRNA from 1 species
ACUUUUUUUUGGGGGCGAUUCGACAAGGUUUCGUAGGUGAACUGCGGAAGGAUCAUUA